rnacentral:rRNA from 1 species
UACGUAGGGGGCAAGCGUUGUCCGGAAUCAUUGGGCGUAAAGCGCGUGUAGGCGGCUGGGUAAGUCCGCUCUGAAAGCCCGGGGCUCAACCCCGGGAGGCGGGUGGAUACUGCUCAGCUCGAGUCCGGAAGAGGAGUGUGGAAUUCCUGGUGUAGCGGUGAGAUGCGCAGAUAUCAGGAGGAACACCAAUGGCGAAGGCAGCACUCUGGGACGGUACUGACGCUGAGACGCGAAAGCGUGGGGAGCAAACAGG